rnacentral:rRNA from 1 species
GUGGGGAAUAUUGCACAAUGGGCGCAAGCCUGAUGCAGCAACGCCGCGUGAGGGAUGACGGCCUUCGGGUUGUAAACCUCUUUUAGUAGGGAAGAAGCGUAAGUGACGGUACCUGCAGAAAAAGCACCGGCUAACUACGUGCCAGCAGCCGCGGUAAUACGUAGGGUGCAAGCGUUGUCCGGAAUUAUUGGGCGUAAAGAGCUCGUAGGCGGCUUGUCGCGUCUGCCGUGAAAACCCAGGGCUCAACUCUGGGCGUGCGGUGGGUACGGGCAGGCUAGAGUGCGGUAGGGGAGAUUGGAAUUCCUGGUGUAGCGGUGGAAUGCGCAGAUAUCAGGAGGAACACCGAUGGCGAAGGCAGAUCUCUGGGCCGUAACUGACGCUGAGGAGCGAAAGCAUGGGGAGCGAACAGGAUUAGAAACCCUAGUAGUCC